GCCAAUGAUUUUGUUCUUUUAGCUAGAGUCAGGUUCAGAGUUGUUCACUCUGGAUUUUUUGGGCACAACCAUCAAGCAAGCUAGCACAUAUUGUUUAACUGAAGCAAAGGGCAGCUAAGCUAUGAAUGCUUCAUUCUUUGUUCUACACAAAUGCAGCUACUAUUUGUAUUUGAUCUGAGCAAAGGUGCAACCAAUUGAAGUUAUUUUGAAGAACCUGCACCUGAGUAUAUAUGUUCUGAUUUUAUAGCCUGCAGAGUCUGUAGAGUAAAGUUUGUACAUUUUGUGAAUCGCUUUGUUCCGGUUUCCCUUGGUGUAUAGUCUAUACUGUAUCAGGUUAUUUACUAUGUGCAGAUUUGUUUGUGCCAUUGCCGAUCAUGUACUUCUUUCUGUGCUUGGAAGCAUAGUCUCAUCGUAUCCCCUAGAUCUGUAUAAGUAUAUUUAGCUCACAUACACUUGGCAUUUGUUCUUCAAAAGGCGAUGUCCUCGAUGCUGGACUCCUGGUAACAGUUUAUUACAUGUUAUUUCUUUUUUUGGUGAGUCUUUUCUUGAGAUUUAGGAUUAUGGAGUUAACGGGUGUUACUUUUGACCUGCUAAUACAGCUGCGUUAAACUUUUUGCUCUUCGAAAGCAACUAUGUAAGUCUGACGCUAACAUAAUGUUUACUGCUAAAAUACUUCAGUAGGUAUAACUUAGAGUCAGGAACACAAGUAGAAUUUCAUAGAAAUUUGUCUAGCUCCUGUAGAUGAAAGACUUCCUGCAAGUGAGCUCUUGAAUAACUCUUACCUCCAGGAAGAUGAGGUCUAUUCCAGCGCCUUCAAUUUCAGUCUCUCUGGUCUCAAGUGUGACUGAAGAUGGGUGGCAAUCUGCAAGUUUCGUGCUUUGGAAGGGUGAAUUCUUACUGAAAAACCAUAUGUAUCUUACUGACCAUAUUAAUUUAUUGCUAAGGCUGUUUAAAGAAUGCUGAGUUGUCAAGCGAGGUGCUGCAGUGGCUGGCGUUGUCGGGCAUGGGACGACGUCUCUAGGCUCCUGCCUGAGGCAAGCCUCUCCGGCCUCCUCGGAUGCCCUCUAGGAACUGGCACUGCGUAUGAUGGUCUCCUCACCUAGCACCUAGGUUGACCUAGCCACCGCCAUCAAAGCGGAGAGUUGACAACAUAUGUAUGAUUGUUGGACGUGUCAGUCCUGCCAUUGACAUGUUCAAAACUAUGAAUUGAGUGAUUACAAAUAUGCUUUGAUCAAUGAAAUGAAAGGAUGUUCUGUUA